UUUAGGCCCUUCACAUGCUCCUAUCUUCCAGGUUCUGGAAGCAGCUAUCGCAAGUGCUUAAAUGUUCCUCCUGUGCCUCUGUGACUGUCCAAAGUCCCUGUUUCCAGUUCAGCUUUCUUUGAAAAGCCCUUGAGCUUUAAUAUCACCAUCAUGCCUCAUUAAAACUCCUAUUCACUGGGUGCAGAAGACUGCUUAUUACUGAAAGUAAUUUGAUUAAAACAUAAAUACUGCAAAAUCAUACGUCUAUUUGAAACAACCUGAACUCUUCUCUUAAUAUAAAAUUGAGGUGAAAUACCAAAUUGAGGCACAUGGGUCCGUUAUUGCCAAAGUGAUGGAUUUCCUGACAACCAUUCCACCCAGAAGAUUUUUUUUCCCAGAACUAAUAAUCCCAUCCCCCUUGCUGGUGAUUAACUUAGUAACGAGCAUGACAAU
rnacentral:lncRNA from 1 species